rnacentral:lncRNA from 1 species
CCUCUCGACUUUCAACAUUUUAUUUCAAUACUUGUACAUUUUUAUCAUUUAUUUCAUUCUCUUGAAUAUUAUGAUUUGUAUGUCUCGGUGUCAUUUUGAACUACUUACUACAAUCCAUAUUAAUUCAGAAAUUAAGGCAUUGUUGUCAUCAAUGUAAAAAAAUCAACUUGACAUGAUAAACAUAAACAUUACAAUAAAUCAACAUAUUCAUGUAUACUAUUUUACUAAUAGUAUUCUACUGUAAUGAUGUGGUACUGAAUGUCUAAUUUUCUCAUCUUUACCACAAAAGUAUUUAACAGUUUAAAUACAAUUUUGUCAAAACUUAAGUAUUAAUGUAUUUCAAUUUGAAAAUUCUCAAAAUUAUGAAAUUUUGCAAACAUUUGUAGAAGUUAUAUGUAUAUCUCUUAUGGUUAUUGCAAGUAGCUGGAAUAUUUUUCUAAAGAAUUUGAUUAUACUUUCCAUAUAAGAAAAACACAUUUUCUGAAUUUAUGAGUAUGAAGUGUCUGCUAGAUAUCACACUAUCCUUGACUACAUACUUUCCAUUUUAAUAUCUCAGAGUUCGGUAUUUUUGUUAUUAUACUUUUUAAUGUUUCAGGAUUUUAUCUGACAGAAUUCAUCU